UCGGGUAUGGUGUAACGGCUAACAUUGCCGCCUCUCAUAGGUAUUAUUACUUGGCCUCUGACGCGGCAGCUCGGGGUUCGAUUCCCCGUACCCGAA